UGGCUCAGUGGUUAAGAGCACUGGCUGAAAUUCCAGAGGUCCUGAGUUCAAUUCCCAG
rnacentral:tRNA from 1 species